GGAAUCCUGCAGCUCUUGAACCUGGGAAAGAUGAGGGGGACGUCAGGCCUAGGGGCUCAAACCAACCACCAGCCCUCUCUCCCCAAGGCCUGUUCUUGGGGAAGUGGCAAGAACCCUAGCUGGAAGGCAAGAGGCUUGGAUACUUAGCCUGCCAAAAAUCUCACUAUCUGACCUUGGGAAUGUUUCUCAGCUGCUGAGGAUUUUAUUUUUCCCAGCAGAAAAAUGGGCCCCACUCUGGGGAAAAAUGAAUCCCUGGACUGGGCUCCAAAGUUUUUCUACCAGCCUAAGAUGAGGGCUUCCCUCUCAAUAUCUCAUUCAGCCACAUGGCUUUAAAUGCCACCUGUGUGCUAAGGAUGCUCAAGUUUCUCCCUUCUGCCCUGCUGUCUCCUCUGAGCCCUGGACUCAGACAUAUAGCUGCUCCCUUGAGGACCCCACGUGGAUGUCUCAUGGACACUUGAGCUUAUCAAGGGCUAAAGAGAUCUGGUCACCCCCAGCCAAACCUGCCUACCCUGUAGCUCCUCCAUCUCUCCCUUCUAGUCCAGCAGGUCCCAAAGCCUGAAGUUGUCCUUGACUUCUCUCUAGCCUUCACGCUCACACGUCAGUUCCAUCUGCCACAUCACCCAGAAUCCGUCCGCAUCUCUCCACUUCUACAACCUCCACCAUCGUGCAUGUCUGGACCAAUGAAGUCGCCUCCUGGCUCUCCAGGAGUCCACCCUCACCUCCGCCACCAGAGGGCGCCUGUGAACACCUGCGUCGAGCAUGCCCCUCCUCUGCUCAAAACCCUCCAGGGCUCUCACCUUAAUCCAAGCAAAGCCCAAGCGUCUCCUUGCAGCCCACGAGGCCCUACGCGAUCUGCAUUUGUUCUCCCUCUGUUCUGUUCUGGCUCCCCACACUCUCCCUGUUGCCCCCUGUGUUCCAGCCACACUGGCCUCCUUCGGGUUUCUUGAACAGGCCAGUCAUGCUGCCACUCCAGGGCCUACUCCCACCACCCUCAGUUUUCUUUCUUUUUCUUUCUUU
rnacentral:lncRNA from 1 species